ACCCCAGAGUGCAGUCUGGACGAUGGGGCGGGGCGACACUUCGAGGCGGAGCGACACGUGUCGCCCCGCCCAUAUUUGUUUUCCCCCCCCCUUUGACAUUUUCCUCCGAGCCAGCAGGGGGCAGUUUGCGUUGAAACAAACAGAACGGUGGCAACUACAGCAGCAGAGUAAUAACGCUAUUCCGUUGAUUGCUUGAGGAUGACAUGAUCAGGAGGUGGUGGUGUUCUGUUCUCCUGGACAGCUUUACUCCGCAAAUAGCUCAACCACUGAGGGGAGGAACUUCACCAUUCACCAUGUCUUCAGGCAGAGUCCAGCAAAGCAGCUUCCCCUGGAAAUCCUCAGGGAAGUUAUUUUGUUGGCGGGUGACUCUGCAUAUUUGACACUUUCUCUGGUUUGCAGAUGGUUUAGGGAUGUGCGCCGAAGUUUUUCGGAAAGCGGCACAGUUUGCCUAGCUAGAGAGUAAGAUUUCCCCGUUUAAUGCUCAUUCUCCAAUUGAAUUUUGUAGUAGAAGGCUGUUAAACUUUUUUUGUAUUAUUAUUAUUAUCUUUCAUGUAUUUUGUCUUUACACUAUAAGUUGUGGCCAACUGGAAGAAUUGUCCUCCUGUCUCCCGGAACGAGUUCAGACGGAUGUACAGCAUCAGGGAACACUUGCAGUGCAGAGCCCUUUUCAAGUUUAACCCACCAGGGUACAGGGAAGAGGCCGGCGUGGUGAUCUUCUGGGCUUUUGUUUACACAGGAUAUUGUUCCAAGGACUGUUUUUUUUUUUUUUUUUUUUUUUUUUUGCGGCAUGAAACACAUUUGUGUGUUAAGUUCAUUGAAGGGAAAUAGAGAAUGGGCUGAGAUCAACUGGUUUUGAUGUAUUAAUUGAUGUAAUUUAAAGUUAAACUUUGCACUGUAUAAUGUUUUAAUAAAAAAGCUAUGGAAAACA